CAAGGAUGUCGGACGAUGAAGCUACUGAGUUUUAUGAAGACGAGGAUGAAACAUUUGAGUUAUCAGGUUGUAGUUUCGUUCCUGCUCGACACUCAACUUAUCGUGACUACAUUGAAGAUGGCGGCGGCCCGUCAUUUUCUUGCAGGGCCCUUGGAAGUCUACCAAUGAAGUGUGGAGCUACUUUGUGCCUCGUAAAUGGUGUAAAACAGUGAUUUAUUUACAUGGCUAGCCCGAUGCCCCAUUUACUCUCAUCGACAACCUGUUGUUAGCAUCGGCUAACUGACCCCAGAUUUCGGACUGGAGUGGACAAGCCGAGAUGAGAUAUGCAAGGUUAGUUCACACUCGGUAUCAUGAUUCAAUACACUUUAGGUCAAUAUCACACCGGACCUCUCCUUUAAGCAUAUGCAGUUACAAGAAGGUAAACACACAAAACGUGUUACAACGUGUCUUCACACGUAGAUAUCGCGUAGAAAGACGAUCGGUUACUCACACUUCCGACAAAACGUCUAUGGUACGUGUUAACAACGUGUAAGCACAUGUAGGAACGUGUUACAUUAAAUUUUGUAAAAACCCUAUUUGGCUUAUAAUUAGAAUCGACUUAAUAAUUAAUAAUGUAGGAUUUAAGAACAUUUUAUAUUAUGGGUAUUUCAUUAUCCUGUGACUGCGCUGUCAAAUUUACACAUUCAGUUGGUGCAAAGCUGUGUAGAACACAAUAUGAGUUUGUUGUUAAUAAUAAACUGUAUUGUUAAAUUAACUGUUUAUAGUAAGCCUAAACAUUAUUACUCAUAGUCUUUUCAGGUUUAUAAAGUCAGCUGUGGUGUGAUGAGGGGUGAACUCAGCAAAAAAUACAGAAGAUGUGGAACCGAUUACUCCUUUUAUGACAAAGAACUGCACAGAUGCAGAUAUUAUAACAAUCUAUUGAUAAACACAGACCUUGUCCUCUGUUUCUCACUAUUGACGCGGUCUGCGGAUUGAAAAAAGAAGAACACGCUGAAAGACAGAAGGAGCCGAUCGAAGUUUGCCACAACUUUCUUAUGAAAUUUAAAGGGGACUGAGGCGAUCACGGAUUUGUGUACAUUUUAUGGAACUAGCCCCCCUAAAAAUGGCCUAGCGACUCCCAUGCAUUCGUUCAUUUGUGAGAUUUUAUGUUUAAGAUUCAAUCGGUGUUUAUAUAUAUAUAUAUAUAUAUAUAUAUCUUUACUUAUUAAAUGUUUAUUUAUCAUUUCAUUUUCAAUUUACAUAUUUGAUAUUUUUAUAUAUUAUUCACAGCGGUGUAGUGGUGCCUGGAAAAGUGCGUAUACUCUUAAUUUAAGGCAUUGUUUUCGUUAUAAUGUACUAAUUCAAAUUAGUAAUCAUUAAGUAAUUAUUUUUUUUACCACUCCGCAUGUGCGGGACGAAGCGGGCGCGGGCGCAAUCAUAUUUUAAAGGAAGCCGACGCCACGGUCCUGACCGCCUCAGUGCCUUUAAUGGCUAGGAAAUAUUUGCAUUUAUUCAUGUGCGAUUGGAUUAGCUAUUCAUGUGGUGGACUGUCAUGAUUUUGGCUAAUGAAUGAUGCGCAUCAGAGUGGGUAUAUUCAAAGCUGGCUGAUAAGAAGUGUAUAAAAACGUAGACGUUUGAAUGCACAUGAAAAGUACUUUUUCUUUUUUUUUUUCUUUUUCUUUUUUUUUUUUAUUCACAUUUUUGUAAAUAAUUUUCAAGUGAGGAGCAUUGCAAAACCGUUUUGAAGGCAAUAGCUAACUUGUUUAAUAAAGCUUCAAAUGUUGCGUCUUUUGACUUACAACUUGUUAAUUUAUUGCACCUAUGAUUUGUUGAAUAAUGCUAAAACAGAGAUCUAACACUGAAAAGAAACAUUUGUUGGUAAAACACGAUAAUAAAUAAAAGACAAAAAAGUUUAACAUAAGUGUAACCAUUGAUGAAAACAUGAAAACGUAGUAUACAUAUAGGCUAUAGUUAACAAACAACGAGGAAAUGUAUUACUAUGUUUUACAGACAAACAUUUAGAAACUCAGAGAAAGAACAGUCACUGAAAACCUUAUUGAAGCUUUUCAUCUCCAUAGCUUAUGAGCAGGAGGUGGGGAAAGGUAGGGCUAAGCACAUGUGGACAUAAUGAUAAGCAAAAAUUGUUGGUAUAUGUAUAAAUGUAUAUUAAUGAUAUAUGAAUGCUACAAUAAUCUGAAAAAAAAAAAAAAAAAAAAAAAAAAAUGAUUUUAGGUUUGUAUUAUAUGUCUGUAUAGCUACAGUACCUCUGCUCUCUUAAGAAACAUUCACAGGCACACUCACAAACAGGCACAUUGCCUUUGAAAAAUGCCUUUGAAAAAUGAACAGCCAAAAAAAGUCUAAGUAUUGUUCUAGGUAUGAAAUAUGUAGAGUUGUUGUAAUGGUUGUAAUGUUCAUUUAUAGUCUCAUUUAUAAUCUCUAAAGAGCAGUUAAGAUCAUUACAUUUUAAAAACCAAGUAAUUUAAUGACGUCAGGUCGUCACGUGGGUCACCCGUCCUGUAAGACGUUCAAAGCACAAGACGUUCGGUUAGACGUUCGAUUAGCCGGUCGGUCGGACGCUUGAUUUUGACACGCAGUACGCGCCAUAGUGCAGUAGCUCUCCACCAACUGCGCUGACCAAAAGCACGAUGGGAAACGCCUGGAUGACGACACAGCUUAAAGCUCAUUGGUUCAGACAUCCGUGAUGUUGCUUUUGAUGAUGAUUUUUUCUAAAAUGUUAUAUAUUUUUAAUUUAAUAUCAUAUGUGUGUUUAAAUUGUGCAUGAAUAUUCGCAAACACUAUGCCAGUGCGAUCUCUUCGUGAGAUUUCUAUAAAAAUCUCAAAUACACGUUUGUAUUAAAGUAAAAAUGGAUGAUAAAUACGCCUUUCGUAUGGAAUGAAAUAUCAAGCACUUUGAGUGUCUUGUUCAUCAUAUUUAUUUUCAUAUAAAAACAACAGAGCUGAAAUUAUAUCGUGUUUAUCAGCAACAGAGCAGGUGACUGUGAUAACGCGAUGUCCGCCUUUGAUCUCGUAGGUGUCUGUUCUACUUCUAAAGGUCAGAACUGUCCGUCUUGACUGCACUUAUUUCACUCCUCCCCUCACUGCAGCCCCCUACUCUCACCUACAUUUCAGACGAGGCGCAUCUCAAACGAGCCUUUUGAUCGUUAAGUCGAACACACCUCUUAGCUUGUCAGCGGAUCAGCGUUACCCAAGCAACAAGCGGUGCUAACGCGUGACAAAGAGAAAGACAAAACAAACAGGAAUGAACACACAGACCUGUGAACCAUGACACAGUGUAUCAUCAGCCUUAUUAGUAGCAGAGGUCUAGUAGCAACUGGGAUGGGGUGUAAAACAAAAUUCUCAAUAGUGUUUCAUUUAGUAUUUAUGUGUAGUUAUGUAUGGUACUUAUGUAUAGUUGUAAUGAUUGCCAGUGAUUGGUUGGUUGGCCGAAAGAUCUUGACUCCGGCUUGUUCUGAGUAUCUCAGUAAUUUUCUAAUAAGUAUGAUUAACACACCGCCCUUACCGUUGCACCAAUAAAAGUAGCCUUACUUAAGAUUAAUCAAUUUUGCUUGGUUCAUUUUCAUAGUGGUGAUGAGAGAUUGGUUUGCAUAAGACCUAUGUAACAGAGGGCAUAAAUUGUGAUUCUGUUUUCACUUUCCAUUUACUUGAAAUCACUGCAGUUAUUCAAUUCUCACUCCUUCCCUCCCUCCUGUCACACCCCUGUGGACUGUUUUGCUGGUUUCGCCCUUCCGUGCCCUUAUUUGGUCUUUCCUGUUGCGUUUCUUGUGAUGUCUUUAUUGGUUAAUUACUCCGAUCUGUCUUGGCAUCAUUAGCACCCCUUUAUAAGUUUGAUUCAGUUCCUUGUUUUUCGCCAUUCUUUAUGCUGUGUUGGCGUGUGUUUUCCCCUGCUAUUUCUGUUUGUUCCUGUUCCCUUGUUGGAGUUUAUUAUAAAAGCACGUUUCUAUUAUUUCCUCGUUUCUACGGCUCCUUCCUGCACGUGACCCUGACACCUCCCGCCCCACCAUUAGACAGUUUUACUGGAAUCAUUUUCCUCAUUUAAAAGUGUGUGUAUGUAUAUAUAUAUAUAUAUAUAUAUAUAUAUAUAUAUAUAUAUAUAUAUAUAUAUAUACAUAUAUAGUAAUAUUUCUAAAAUGUCUAAUCUGUCUAUCUGUGUAUUGUGUAAUGGCAUGGUACAAAGAAGGUGAAAAGCUGUCAUGCAAGCCUUAACAAAGUAAAAGUGAAAGUUAGACCUGAAACUAUAAAUACGCCCUGAAAGGAGAGAUGUUGUCACAGUGUGCUCGCACAUCCUAAAAAAACACAAGAGAAGAACAAUAAAUAGCAAUUCUAUCUUGUUAUUACAUCCUUGUUUUUAAUUUACAGUUUGAAGUGUUAUUUUUAAACUUAAUUUUAAACGUUAAAAAGUAUAAGGAAAAGAAGAAAACAGAGAAGGACAUCACAAUGGGAGGAUCAGAAUCAACCCCAGCUCCAAUCCCACCCUCACUAGUUGCUCUCUCUCCGUUACUCGAGGUUCUUGUUCAUAAUUGACUGGAGAAGCGGAUCGGCUCCUUCUGCGUGCUUGCAUCUUUUAAAAAGUCACAAAAAGUCAGUGUUAAGAAGACAGAGGUGUUAUUGUUUCAAAGCUAGUCAUUAUACUUAUACACACAAUAUUUUGUUGUUGGCUUUUCUAUCUUUUUCUUUCCUGUUGUUGUUACUAUUAUUAUAUUAGUAUUAAAAGGUCAACUGUAAAGAGAGACAACGAGACAAAAUUGAAAUCUAUAGUAGACAACUAUAGACCAUUUCGUCAGAUGUAAACAUACUGGUCCCGAUACACUUCCUGUUUCUUUUUUUUUUUUUAACUUUACACAAACAUCACAAAAAAUACAACCAACAUAACAUUUGACUGGAUGAAAAUGUUACAUUAGCACCUUUAAGAUGUAUUUGUAUAUGUGAAAUAAAAUAAAAAACAAAAAAACAGGAAGUGCAGUGUUGUUUACAUCUAGCGAAAUGGUCUAUAUUGUUGCUUUCUCAACUCACCCCGGUUCGAAGCAUGAUCAGUCUCCCCCCGCACAGCUGCACUUCCACAUACAUCAGUUACCCGAUUGUGAUAGUCGCUAAUAUACGUAUUACCACUAUGUUAAAAAGACCAAAGCCCCGAUGCCCGGAAAGAAAAGAAAGAAGGAAAAAAUGAGCAGUGUUGGGCAAGCUACUUGGAAAAUGUAGUGAGCUAAGCUACAGCAACAUGGCAAAAGUAGUUUACUACAUCUAAGCUAUUUUUUACAUUUUCAUUUUUCUAUUGAACCAACAUCAUACCAAGUCAAUGCUCUCCCAGUGAUCAAUUAAAUUGUCAGUCAUACAGGCAUAAAAGUCCAGUUUAAUUGUUUAUUCAACCACUUUUCCAAACCAAUUUGGCAACAAAAAUCAGUAUAAUGUACAGGGCUGGGUUUAUCUCAUAUUUGGGGGGGUUAGGGGGGGUGAAUUCUUUCU